rnacentral:rRNA from 1 species
UACGUAGGGUGCAAGCGUUAAUCGGAAUUACUGGGCGUAAAGCGUGCGCAGGCGGUUAUGUAAGACAGGUGUGAAAUCCCCGGGCUUAACCUGGGAACUGCAUUUGUGACUGCAUAGCUAGAGUACGGUAGAGGGGGAUGGAAUUCCGCGUGUAGCAGUGAAAUGCGUAGAGAUGUGGAGGAACACCGAUGGCGAAGGCAGCCCCCUGGGUCAAGACUGACGCUCAUGCACGAAAGCGUGGGGAGCAAACAGG